CCUACCUUGCGAACCUGUCCUCUGCCCCCUCCCACAGCGCUUCGCUUUCUCCCGUCUUCUCCGCCUUCCCGUCGCUGCCUCUCGCUGCCGGAUUCUUCUUCGCAACCCUAGCAGCUAGCCAUGGCCGGGAGAGGGAAGGCGAUCGGCUCUGGCGCCGCCAAGAAGUCCAUGUCCAGGAGCUCCAAGGCUGGGCUCCAGUUUCCCGUCGGCAGGAUCGCCAGGUUCCUCAAGGCCGGCAAGUACGCCGAGAGGGUCGGCGCCGGCGCACCCGUCUACCUCGCCGCUGUGCUCGAGUAUCUGGCUGCUGAGGUAAGAGAGGCGACUUGGAAUUUUACUGUUGGAGUCUUCGAUUUGGUUUUGAAUAGUGCUACUAGUACGAAAAUUGGGUUCUGGGGUUUCCAUUUCUUGAUAAUUGGGGUUGGUAACAAAAUUCGGGCGAAUUCUAUGCAAUUCGAUUGGAAUAAUUGGGGGUUCUGGGAAAUGAUUCGAAUUUGAGCGGCGGGUGUUGUUCGAUUUGCUAAUUUCAGUCGAAUUAGAGAGAAUUUUGACUAAUCAUGUGAAUAUCCCCCUCCUGUUUCGCGCAGGUUCUUGAGCUGGCCGGGAACGCCGCGAGGGACAACAAGAAGACCCGUAUCGUGCCGCGCCACAUCCAGCUGGCCGUCCGCAACGACGAGGAGCUCUCCCGCCUGCUGGGCACGGUGACCAUCGCCAGCGGUGGCGUCAUGCCCAACAUCCACAACCUGCUGCUCCCCAAGAAGGCUGGCGGAGGCAGCGCCAAGGCCGCGGCCGGCGACGAGGACUAGAUCCCUGACUACCGUGCUUCCGGUGGUGGUGGCCGUUUCUUGUGGAUGAUGUAUCACUUGUGCUUGUGUAGUAGUGCGUUCUAGACUCGCCUAGGUUUUGCCUUCUAGUAGGGAGGUUGUGUGUGCCU
rnacentral:lncRNA from 1 species